UGGUGCAGAAGAUCGCGCCGGCCAUGGCGGUCGGCAAUGCGGUGGUGGUGAAGCCGUCGCCGCCCGGCACCGAGGUGGCGCUCCUGAUCGCCGAGGCGGUGAAGAAGGCGGGCGUGCCCGACGGGCUGUUCAACGUGGUGCCGGGCGGCCGGCAGACCGCCGCAGCUCCUGGUCGCGCAUCCCUUGGUCGCCCGCGAUCACGGCGACGCGGCUCGACCGCCAUGGGUAACGAGCUCGCCCGCCGCCGCCGGUGCCAAGAAAUUCGUCGCCGAGCUCGGUUCCAAUGCCGCCAAUAUCGUCUGCGCCGACGACGAUCUAGCCGACGCGGCGACCCGCAUCGCCGGCGCGGGCUUCGAGGCGAGCGGCCAGCAGUGCAUCUCCGCGCAGCGCGUGAUCGUGGAGCGUGCGGUGUAUGAGAAAUUCCUCGAGCUGUUCGUCGCCGCCGCCAACAAGCUCAAGGUCGGCGACCCGGACGAUGCCGCGAUCGACGUCGGCCCGAUGGUGAGCCGCGACGCCGCCGACCGCGUCGAGGCGAUGGUGGCGGACGCCGUCGCCAAGGGCGCCAAGCUCGUGCGCAAGCCCGAGCGUGACGGCUGCAUUCUCCGGUCCGGCGAUCGUCGCAGACGCGCCGCCCAAUGCGCGGCUGAUGGGCGAGGAGGCGUUCGGCCCCGGUGGUGGUGGUGCAGCCGGUGGACAGCGUGGACGCGGCGAUUGCGCUCGCCAAUUCGUCGGAGUUCGGUCUCCAGGGCGCCUGCUUCACCAAGAGCCUUGAGACCGCGUUCAAAGUGUCGCGGCAGCUGCGGGUCGGCUCGCUCUGGAUCAACGACGCCAGCCGGUUCCGGCCUCGACAUGUACCCGUUCGGCGGCGUCGGCUCCUCCGGCUUCGGUCGCGAGGGCGUGCGCUACGCGAUGGAGGAAUUGUCGCAGU
rnacentral:misc_RNA from 1 species